CUUGAUUUGGACCCAUUUUUGUAUUGGCUGAAUCUAAACACAAGAAGAUUUCUUUAAUGUUGGAAACCUUUUCAUGUUUGAUACUGGUUCAGGCUGAGCUAUUGUUCCCUUUGGGAGAUCAUCUGCUUACACCAUGUUUUAGUUUAGGAGGGAAAUCCAGUAAGUGAUUACAAAAACAUAAUGUUUUUAAGUCAAGAUAUCUUGAACUGCAUCUUGAAUGUCCUGUCCCGUGUCUGUCCAUCCCGUCCCCCCCGCCCGAAAGGCUUCUAGGCUCAUACCCAUAAAGGAAGCACAAAGCAUUUUAUUGUUGAUAAGAUUGGUCGUUUUACCAAAAAUGACAAAGCUUUGUAUAUAAUUCAGCUGUUUAACUUAGAAACAAAUUUUGGUAUUUAUAAUAUAGUAAUCAGGUGUACAUUUUACAGCUUUUUUGGGGGGGAGAAGGUAAUGUGAGCAUUUUAUUUUCAGAUUUCUUAAAAUACACUGUUGUCUUUUAACUUUUUGGAAUACCUAUGAUAACUUUUGGAAACAUCUCCUCCGCUACCUGAGCUGUGGAUAAAAAUGAACUGACAUCAAAAUAUGUUUCCUGGUUCUGUAUCUUGCAGGUAUUUGUGUUUCUCUUCAGAGGAAAAUGCUGCUUAGCUCUGGUGCAAAAUAAGUUUUGGUUUUUUUAGUUUAGUUAGCAAACAGUCUUUACUCUUAAACUAUGUGAGUGAGCAAAAAAGAAAGUAAUGUUUCUUGUAUAGAGAGAAAAUAAUUUUUCUCUGUUUAAUAGAAGUUAUUUGAGCACUUUUAGAAAUAACAGUAGCUGUAUCUGUUCCCCUGUCAUAAUCCCACCAUUCUUAUUUUAACUUUGAAAUGGAAGAUUCUGUUUACUUUGAUUUUGUUGCAAUGUUCCACAGGGAUUCUUUUUCAGUAAGUAAAGUGGGAAUAAAUACAGAGUUGUAUUUAUUUUCCAUAAGUCAUAUUUAGAGUUUGUUUAUUUACACUUAUGUAUACUCGUGUACUAAUUUAGUUCCCUGCACUGUGAAAACUUCAAGAACUCUCUGAGGUAAUAAUAGUAUUUUAUUGUAGUGUUGAAAAUAUUGAAAUAUCAGCAUCACUAUAUGACCAACUUAUGUUUGAUAGCGUGUACAAACUAACAACUGGAAAGUGGUUGCAUUUUCCUUGUGACAUUUUGUUUUUCUGAGUGAUCGUUGCAAUAGCCAUGGAAAUUUGAUUUAUGUGGAGAAGUAAUCUAUUUUAAGGUGAAAUCCUUUAUUUGCUGUUACCUUUUCAAAUAUUUCAUAUAGGUCUGAAAGUGAAGAAAAUUGUUUUACUGUCCUCAGCAGGCCUCUAAUUUUAUUAUUUUCUAAAAGUCUUGAUUAUUUGUCAUUUAUGUGCUCUCCAUAUUCAGAGGUUUGUGAAAGAGAGAAUGAAGACCAGGCUGGAAAAUAAUUUAGAAGUCCACACACUGAUUCAUCAGCUACAGCCUCCAGUGCAACAGGAGUUGUGUCCACAUUAAUCCCAAGAUUGUUUCACUUACUGAGGAAUUAAUGAAGGAAAGCAAAAAACAAUUCCUUACACUUUUCUGAAUCCUGGGAAAAGGGCUGACAAACUGGUUCUUUUUUUACAGCCUCUGGUAGAGGAAGACUGUAAGGCUGAAAGUUGAAGGAAAUGCUAUUAUAUGUCUGCUCUCUUGUUUUGUCCUUUCUGUCAGCACCAUUCCUGGUCACUGUCAGAAGGGUAUUACUAAGCUAGAUGGGUUUUUGGUCUGGCUGCAUUGGGAUGUUCUUAUGUUUGAAUUUCUUCCAGUCAGGACAGAGGAUACCAGUAGCUGUAACACUUGGCUGUCUCUGCCAAGCUUGAAGUGUGGUGAAAAAUAGCACUGCAGUUCUGGCCAUUUCACAUGCAGAAUGAUUACACUGCCUUUCAAAAUACUGAAAUGUUUGAAUCGAUUGAUUUAUCCUCCCUAGCAAAUAAGGGAAUUAUAAGGAUAUGUAAUUAGGAAGGAAGCUAAAUAUCGUUCUUGGGUGUUGUUUUGGGUUUGUGUGGUGGGGUUUUGUUAGUGGGGGAGGGGGCUACAGGGGUGGCUCCUGUGAGAAGCUGCUAGAAGCUUCCCCGGCUCCAAGUUGGACCUGCCUCUGGCCAAGGCCGACCCAAUCAGCAACGGUGGUAGCACCUCUGGGAUAACAUAUUUAAGAAGGGAAACCUGCAGUGGGGGAGGGGAUUGGAAUGUGAGAGAAACCCCUAUGCAGAUACCAAGGUCAGUGAAGAAGGAGGGGGAGGAGGUGAUUCCCCUGCAGCCCGUGGUGAGACGGCAGGCUGUCCCCCUGCAGCCCAUGGAGGUGAGUGGGGGAGCAAAUGCCCACCUGCAGCCUGUGGAGGACCCCAUGCUGGAGCAGGUGAAUGUCCCCGAAGAUGGCCGUGACUCCAUGGGAAAGUCCGUGCUGGAACAGCCUGUGCCUGAAGGACUGCAGCUUGCGGAAAGGACCCACACUGGAGCAGUUCGUGGAGAACUGUCUCCUGUGGGAGGGACCCCAUGCUGGAGCAGGGGAAGAGUGAGGAGUCCUCCCUGAGGUGGAAGGAGCGGCAGAGACAAUCUGUGAUGAACUGACCACAACCCCCAUUCCCCGUCCCCCUGCACUGCUCGGGGGAGGAGGUGGAGAAAACCGGCAGUGGAGUUGAGCCUGGGAAGGAGGGAGGGGUGGGGGGAAAGUGUUUUAAGAUAUGGUUUUACUUCCCAUUAUCCUUGUUUUGAUUUGAUUUGUAGUAAAUUAAAUUGAUUUUGUUUCUUCCCCAAGUUGAGUCUGUUUUCUGCCCGUGACCAUAAUUGGUGAGUGAUCCCUCCCUGUCCUUGUGUCGACUCAUGAGCUUUUCUUUAUGUUUUCUCCUCCUCAUCCCACCAGGGCAAGGGGGGAGGAGUGAGCGAGCUGCUUUGUGGUGCUUUGUUGCUGGCUGGGCUUAAACCAUGACAGGUGUCUAUAGAAAGAUCUGAAAAUCUGGUACUCCAGGAUUGGAAGGGCCUCCUUGAAUCAUUAUGUUGUAUACACUUCUCGCUGACAGCUACAGUAGACAGCCUGUAGUAAAAGUGAAGAUAGCUCAGAUGAAGAGUUAACUGGUCCUUCCAUGCAAUCCCAGACUUUUGCUCAAGGUCCAGCUGAGGAUACUGAUGAUGAUGAUGAAUUCAUUGGGCCACCAGUUCUGCCUGGGUUCAAGGAUAGUGAUGACAAUAAUGACAAUUAUGAUACAGAGGAGGAAGAUGAUAACCCUGUCAAGAAAAUUCCAGAUUCUCAUGAAAUUACACUCCAACAUGAGACAAAAACAGU